GCUAGUCUAGUUAAAAUGAAUAAUAUUAGCUUGUCGAGCUUAAGAUAGACUUCUGGUCUGACUGGUU
rnacentral:tRNA from 1 species